ensembl:lncRNA
CGAGUCAAUAAAAAGAUUCAAACAAAUCGUUCGAAAGAAACAAAUGAAUCGUUUGCGAACUGCACGUCACUACGAGUAAAGAAAGAGAGGAAGUGAGAGAGAGCGUGAGGAUGACAACAGGGCCAGGGAGAGCAGGUGACAUGGAGAGAGAGAGAGAGACAGAGGAAGAGAGAGAGGGAGGAAGUGACCUAUAUAGAAAGCUGUUCCGAGCCCCAUCCAGCUCCAGCUGCCUGCUGCAUUUCAAGAAGGGGGCUCCUAUGAAUAAUGCAGAGAAUGCCUCAACACCCUCAACACCACAGCCUUCAAUAAAACCAUCCUUAAUGAGUGUUAAUGACAGUGAGGCGCUGAGACAAUCAAAGGCUGUGUAUGUGUGUGUGUGUGUUUGAGUGUGUGUGUUUGAGUGUGAGAGAGGUGUGUGGAGGCGCAGAGCAGUGCCAUUGCCCUGGGCGCAGUCAAGGUUGCCCUAGGUGAUAUCUGAGACUUUGAAAAGUACAUGAAAGCUCGAGGAACUGACAGGGCAAGCAAACCCAUGGUAUGUGUAGGUUACCUAGGGCGUUAAUGGAAGGACGAUACUGGGAGAAAUUUUUCUGGGGAUGUUCAUGAGUUUGAAUGUGACAUGGCUUGGAUUUUUCUGGUUACUGUCAA